UACGUAGGGUGCGAGCGUUGUCCGGAAUUAUUGGGCGUAAAGGGCUCGUAGGCGGUUUGUCACGUCAGGAGUGAAAACUCGGGGCUCAACCCCGAGCCUGCUUCUGAUACGGGCAGACUGGAGGUAUGCAGGGGAGAAUGGAAUUCCUGGUGUAGCGGUGAAAUGCGCAGAUAUCAGGAGGAACACCGGUGGUGAAGGCGGUUCUCUGGGCAUUACCUGACGCUGAGGAGCGAAAGUGUGGGGAGCGAACAGG
rnacentral:rRNA from 1 species